rnacentral:rRNA from 1 species
AGUGAACGCUGGCGGUAGGCCUAACACAUGCAAGUCGAACGGCAGCACAGUAAGAGCUUGCUCUUACGGGUGGCGAGUGGCGGACGGGUGAGGAAUACAUCGGAAUCUACUUUUUCGUGGGGGAUAACGUAGGGAAACUUACGCUAAUACCGCAUACGACCUACGGGCGAAAGCAGGGGAUCUUCGGACCUUGCGCGAUUGAAUGAGCCGAUGUCGGAUUAGCUAGUUGGCGGGGUAAAGGCCCACCAAGGCGACGAUCCGUAGCUGGUCUGAGAGGAUGAUCAGCAACACUGGAACUGAGACACGGUCCAGACUCCUACGGGAGGCAGCAGUGGGGAAUAUUGGGCAAUGGGCGCAAGCCUGAUCCAGCCAUACCGCGUGGGUGAAGAAGGCCUUCGGGUUGUAAAGCCCUUUUGUUGGGAAAGAAAAGCAGCAGGUUAAUACCCCGCUGUUCUGACGGUACCCAAAGAAUAAGCACCGGCUAACUUCGUG